GAUGAACGCUGGCGGCGUGCCUAAUACAUGCAAGUCGAGCGAACAGACGAGGAGCUUGCUCCUUCGACGUUAGCGGCGGACGGGUGAGUAACACGUAGGUAACCUACCUAUAAGACUGGGAUAACUUCGGGAAACCGGAGCUAAUACCGGAUAAUAUUUCGAACCGCAUGGUUCGAUAGUGAAAGAUGGCUUUGCUAUCACUUAUAGAUGGACCUGCGCCGUAUUAGCUAGUUGGUAAGGUAACGGCUUACCAAGGCAACUAUACGUAGCCGACCUGAGAGGGUGAUCGGCCACACUGGAACUGAGACACGGUCCAGACUCCUACGGGAGGCAGCAGUAGGGAAUGGUCCGCAAUGGGCGAAAGCCUGACGGAGCAACGCCGCGUGAGUGAUGAAGGUCUUCGGAUCGUAAAACUCUGUUAUUAGGGAAGAACAAACGUGUAAGUAACUGUGCACGUCUUGACGGUACCUAAUCAGAAAGCCACGGCUAACUACGUG
rnacentral:rRNA from 1 species